GGGAUUGGGUUCGAUUCCGGAGAGGGAGCCUGAGAAACGGCUACCACAUCCAAGGAAGGCAGCAGGCGCGCAAAUUACCCAAUCCCGACACGGGGAGGUAGUGACAAUAAAUAACAAUAUAGGGCUCUUUCGGGUCUUAUAAUUGGAAUGAAUACAAUUUAAAUCCCUUAACGAGGAACAAUUGGAGGGCAAGUCUGGUGCCAGCAGCCGCGGUAAUUCCAGCUCCAAUAGCGUAUAUUAAAGUUGUUGCAGUUAAAAAGCUCGUAGUUGAAUUUCGGGGUCAGUAGAUUGGUCGUGCCACUGGUAUGUACUGGUCUUACUGGCUCCUCCUUCCUGAUGAACCGUAAUGCCAUUAAUUUGGUGUUGCGGGGAGACUGGACUGUUACUUUGAAAAAAUUAGAGUGUUUAAAGCAGGCUAACGCUUGAAUACAUUAGCAUGGAAUAAUGAAAUAGGACGUUCGAUCUUAUUUUGUUGGUUUCUAGGAUUGACGUAAUGAUUAAUAGGGAUAGUUGGGGGCAUUAGUAUUCAAUUGUCAGAGGUGAAAUUCUUGGAUUUAUUGAAGACUAACUACUGCGAAAGCAUUUGCCAAGGAUGUCUUCAUUAAUCAAGAACGAAAGUUAGGGGAUCGAAGACGAUCAGAUACCGUCGUAGUCUUAACCAUAAACUAUGCCGACUAGGGAUCGGAUGAUGUUAAUUUUUUAAUGACUCAUUCGGCGCCUUACGGGAAACCAAAGUGUUUGGGUUC
rnacentral:rRNA from 1 species